AUGAUGCUCAGACUGAGAGCGGGAAUUAUGGUGAUGACCACAGCCCCUGGCCUGUAUGAGGGUCUGUGUGUGUGUGCACUGACCCAAGCAAACUGUCUAGUGUCAGUGUCAGUUUUAGUGCAGGAGGUUUUUGUACAGCCACUGAUUGGGUUUGUAUCAGUGUGGUACACGUUCGGUGGGGGCACCCGACUCUCUGUUGGAACUGCGGCUCGUCCCGCUCUCACAGUGCUGCUGCCCUCCAGAGACGAGCUGCAGCAGGGGAAGGCUACAGUGCUGUGUGUGGCCAGUAAGGGAUACCCCUCUGACUGGAAGCUGAGCUGGAAGGUGGACUGCAGCAGCAGGAGCUCUGGUGUGGAUCUGAGUCCCAGUCAGCUGCAGAAGGAUGGACUGUACAGCUGGAGCAGCAGCCUGAGCCUCACUGAGAGUGAGUGGAGCAGAGCAGCAACCGUCAGCUGUGAAGCCACGCACCCGUCCCACACUGCAGUCACCAAGAGCCUCAACACAAAGCAGUGUGAUGAAUAAAACAAACACACACACACACACGCACGCGCGCACACACACACACACACACACACACACACACACUGCUGUUAGUAUGCUUCUUGCUGUUAGUACAUUACUUAUAAAAUCUUAUUUGUUGUAAUUCUGCAACUGCAAUUCUCUGAAAGUUUUGUUGCUCAUUUUAUUCUUGCUGCCAAAUAAAAGCAUUUUGUCUCAA